AACGAACGCUGGCGGCGUGGAUAAGACAUGCAAGUCGAACGAGAGAAUUGCUAGCUUGCUAAUAAUUCUCUAGUGGCGCACGGGUGAGUAACACGUGAGUAACCUGCCCCCGAGAGCGGGAUAGCCCUGGGAAACUGGGAUUAAUACCGCAUAGUAUCGAAAGAUUAAAGCAGCAAUGCGCUUGGGGAUGGGCUCGCGGCCUAUUAGUUAGUUGGUGAGGUAACGGCUCACCAAGGCGAUGACGGGUAGCCGGUCUGAGAGGAUGUCCGGCCACACUGGAACUGAGACACGGUCCAGACACCUACGGGUGGCAGCAGUCGAGAAUCAUUCACAAUGGGGGAAACCCUGAUGGUGCGACGCCGCGUGGGGGAAUGAAGGUCUUCGGAUUGUAAACCCCUGUCAUGUGGGAGCAAAUUAAAAAGAUAGUACCACAAGAGGAAGAGACGGCUAACUCUGUGCCAGCAGCCGCGGUAAUACAGAGGUCUCAAGCGUUGUUCGGAAUCACUGGGCGUAAAGCGUGCGUAGGCUGUUUCGUAAGUCGUGUGUGAAAGGCGCGGGCUCAACCCGCGGACGGCACAUGAUACUGCGAGACUAGAGUAAUGGAGGGGGAACCGGAAUUCUCGGUGUAGCAGUGAAAUGCGUAGAUAUCGAGAGGAACACUCGUGGCGAAGGCGGGUUCCUGGACAUUAACUGACGCUGAGGCACGAAGGCCAGGGGAGCGAAAGGGAUUAGAUACCCCUGUAGUCCUGGCAGUAAACGGUGCACGCUUGGUGUGCGGGGAAUCGACCCCCUGCGUGCCGGAGCUAACGCGUUAAGCGUGCCGCCUGGGGAGUACGGUCGCAAGAUUAAAACUCAAAGAAAUUGACGGGGACCCGCACAAGCGGUGGAGUAUGUGGCUUAAUUCGAUGCAACGCGAAGAACCUUACCUGGGCUUGACAUGUAAUGAACAACAUGUGAAAGCAUGCGACUCUUCGGAGGCGUUACACAGGUGCUGCAUGGCCGUCGUCAGCUCGUGUCGUGAGAUGUUUGGUUAAGUCCAGCAACGAGCGCAACCCCUGUUGCCAGUUACCAGCACGUGAAGGUGGGGACUCUGGCGAGACUGCCCAGAUCAACUGGGAGGAAGGUGGGGACGACGUCAGGUCAGUAUGGCCCUUAUGCCCAGGGCUGCACACGUACUACAAUGCCCAGUACAGAGGGGGCCGAAGCCGCGAGGCGGAGGAAAUCCUGAAAACUGGGCCCAGUUCGGACUGUAGGCUGCAACCCGCCUACACGAAGCCGGAAUCGCUAGUAAUGGCGCAUCAGCUACGGCGCCGUGAAUACGUUCCCGGGUCUUGUACACACCGCCCGUCACAUCAUGGAAGCCGGUCGCACCCGAAGUAUCUGAAGCCAACCGCAAGGAGGCAGGGUCCUAAGGUGAGACUGGUAACUGGGAUGAAG
rnacentral:rRNA from 1 species